rnacentral:tmRNA from 1 species
GGGGUCGUUUUUGGUUUUGACAUCAAGAUGCGUCUGCUAAGUAAGCAUGUCGAGCGUUGUGGAUUGGCUCGUUAAUCUCGGUUCUCAAAUCGCUAACUGGCGAAUACAAUUAUGCUAUGGCUGCAUAAUCACGACCAAGUCGGAUUAUCUUAAUUCCAGUCUCCAAAGCGGGACGGAACCAUUAUUCCUCGGGUGUUCCGUUCAUUAAUACCCGAUUCAGGAGUAUCAAACUUUUGAACUAGUCUUUCGGGUGCUUCGACCGGAAGAUGAAAUUGAAGAAGCUUAAGCUUCAAGUUGGUUGCUUUUCACCUGCUUUUAGUCUAACAAUCAAUGAAAAGAUAAACAUGUAGAAAGCUUAUCGGUCCCUUGUUUGGACGAGGGUUCGAAUCCCUCCGGCUCCACAG